UUAUCCGGAUUUAUUGGGUUUAAAGGGAGCGUAGGCGGACGUUUAAGUCAGUUGUGAAAGUUUGCGGCUCAACCGUAAAAUUGCAGUUGAUACUGGGUGUCUUGAGUACAGUAGAGGCAGGCGGAAUUCGUGGUGUAGCGGUGAAAUGCUUAGAUAUCACGAAGAACUCCGAUUGCGAAGGCAGCUUGCUGGACUGUAACUGACGCUGAUGCUCGAAAGUGUGGGUAUCAAACAGGAUUAGAUACCCUGGUAGUCCACACAGUAAACGAUGAAUACUCGCUGUUUGCGAUAUACAGUAAGCGGCCAGGCGAAAGCGUUAAGUAUUCCACCUGGGGAGUACGCCGGCAACGGUGAAACUCAAAGGAAUUGACAGGGGCCCGCACAAGCGGAGGAACAUGUGGUUUAAUUC
rnacentral:rRNA from 1 species